rnacentral:rRNA from 1 species
GACGAACGCUGGCGGCGUGCUUAACACAUGCAAGUCGAGCGGGAAACUUCGGUUUCCAGCGGCGGACGGGUGAGUAACACGUGGGCAACCUGCCUCACAAUGAGGGAUAGCCUUCCGAAAGGAAGAUUAAUACCUCAUAACACAAGAGAAACGCAUGUUUCUUUUGCCAAAGAAUUUCGUUGUGAGAUGGGCCCGCGGCGCAUUAGCUUGUUGGUGAGGUAACGGCUCACCAAGGCUUCGAUGCGUAGCCGACCUGAGAGGGUGAUCGGCCACAUUGGAACUGAGACACGGUCCAGACUCCUACGGGAGGCAGCAGUGGGGAAUAUUGCACAAUGGAGGAAACUCUGAUGCAGCAACGCCGCGUGAGUGAUGAAGGUCUUCGGAUUGUAAAGCUCUGUCUUCUGGGACGAUAAUGACGGUACCAGAGGAGGAAGCCAUGGCUAACUACGUGCCAGCAGCCGCCGCCG